GACGUAGGGCGCGAGCGUUGUCCGGAUUUAUUGGGCGUAAAGAGCUCGUAGGCGGUUUGUCCGCGUCGGGAGUGAAAACACUGGGCUUAACUCAGUGCUUGCUUCCGAUACGGGCAGACUAGAGGUAUUCAGGGGAGAACGGAAUUCCUGGUGUAGCGGUGAAAUGCGCAGAUAUCAGGAGGAACACCGGUGGCGAAGGCGGCCCUCUGGACGGAAUACUGAC
rnacentral:rRNA from 1 species